ensembl:Y_RNA Y_RNA Y RNA
GGCUGGUCCGAGUGCAGUGGUGUUUACAACUAACUGAUCACAACCAGUUAGAGUUCUUUGUUCCUUCUCCACUCCCACUGCCUCACUGGACUAGCCUUUA